AUUAUAGAGGUUAUGAUUUCAUACGUAGUACCGCCCACCGCGGAACCAAAAUCUAAUUAAUUUUAAAUUACUUUCAUUAUCAGCUCUUAGCAAAGAAAGAUGCGUAGCUAAGAAGCAGUAGUAGUUUUCUGCAGGCAACUUUGUUGCAAACUAGUCUAGAAUAGCUACUCUGCCAGGAUCUCUAAGUUUUGAACGGAGGAGUAUACCAGCCAAGGCCCCAGCGAAGGAUCAUUUCACAACAUUGGCCUCUAGCAAAGAAAGAUGCAUAACUUGGAAACAGUGACAGUUUUCUUUAUUCAACUUCUUAGCAAAGUAGUCUACAGUAGUUACUGUGUCAGGAUCUCCUAGUUUCCAACGAAACAGUCAACCAGCCAAGGGCCAGAGCAAGGGAUCACUUCAGAGUGUGGCAAAGAAAGAUGCACCCCUUAGUAACAGUAACAAUUCUCUUCAAGCUACCUUGUAGUUCUAUCUGAACAGUCGAAGAGUCAACCAGCCAAGGACAGAGCGAGAGAUUACUUUAGAGGUCUGUGAAACUAUCGUCACUGCUAUCUGCCAUGGAACCACCACCAUCUUAUGGGUCUGAGAAGGUCUACUCACUGUGACUACUAUCCAGGAUACCUAGGAGUACCUCAUCCCCUGUGUGCAGAGGCCUCUUAGUCAUUGUUGUACUAUAGAAUUAAUUGUAAUUGUAUUUAUUAUAAUGUAUGUUCACUUUUGAGAUUGAUAUUUAAAUACAAAUUUCACAUGAAAAUUUCAGCAAAUUUUUGAUUGCUAACCUAUGGUGAUCGGACUCAGUACGGCUUCUGUUGACCUUCGAGAGAAGCCUUGCAAAGCUGUGGAGCUCUGGAAGAUUGAGAACAUACUCCAUGACUCUGUGCACGACACGCAAACUGCAACAAGUCACAAACGUGGGAGGAAGGGGAUCUUUUAGCCUCGAUCUCAGGCCGCACUGAAGAUGAGGUUGAUGAGGCCAUACCACUAUCUAUGACGAGGCCUAGCAUAUGCCAUUACCUACUCAGCGUGAAUGUGAUCUGCUGCCAGCAUGUGCCAGUCCAGUGGCUGUGCUAUAGGAUAAGAAUGGAUGAAUGCAUGAAAGGAUGGAGCGUUCCCCUGGUCCACUCCCUUCUCCGAAAAAAACUCGUCCUGUUGCUAAAAAACCAACCAGCCAAUCAAAACCCUCCGUGACCAUCAACGCUACGAGGGUUAUUGCCACAGCGGUUACCACGACAAUCAUUUCAUCUCGAGAUCGACCUCGCGGAAGAGGUAACGGGUCUAAGUCGCCACGGCAACAACGAGUAUCAAACCUGAAACCAUCGAGUAUCAAACCUGAAACCAAUCAGAAUGCACGAUUCUAUAAGACAGUGGACUGUGGGCUUUUGGUCAUGUCCCGUUCACUCCACAAAGAAUAGGAUCAGACGACCACAGUGACUGGCAGUCCAUUUCCUACGGAUGACUUUGAUAGCAUUUCAUUUGACGAACGUUCCUCUACCCCACCCACUCAUAAAACUGCUGACAAUGCAAGACGAGAUUUGUUUAGAGCACCCCCCUUUGGAGAGGGUUCAAAGGUUACGAAGACAAUGACAACUGUAGAUCAAUUUGUAGCAGUUCCUUUUAGCUGAAUUUUAAUAUUUAUUUUUCCGUGUGUUUAGUAUUAUUAUAAGUGUUGUUUUGUGUGUAGUAGGAUCACAUGACUCCACUAUUGUUUGUGUGCAUAAUUAU